ACUCAGAUACUGCUGAAUCUUGCGAAGAUCUUUCCCAACUUGGUCUUUCGAACCCUAGUACUUACGUCACUAAAUCAGGAGAGGAAGAGAAGCUCCAAAACUGUUUCAGUGAUGGUAUAUUUUAUGUGCUAUUAUGUAUAACAUGAGAUCUUUUAUUUAAAACGAUAUCAGAAAACAUCAUGACAGCUUCUAAUGCAACAUUUUAAUUUCAUUUUAAACAUAAAUUCUAAUUAACACCAUGAUAAAUUAAUAAUCAAUUUUGAAUGAAUAUAAAUAUUGUUUUUUUUCUGCUUGAAAUUGCAUUUCAAAACUUGAAUAAACUGAAUCACAUGAAAUUUAUGUGUUUUCAAAACCUUAACUAAAUAGAUAUAUUUCAUGCACUUAAAAGUAAGUAUAUAUUAUUCUUGAAAGUUAACAAAUUUUGUAUGUCUUUUACGUCUUUGCAAUUUUUUUAAAGUUUUUUUCAGGUAUUCUUCCAUUGAUGGGCUACAUCUGCUAGAGAAUCCUUUCUUGUUCCUAAGUUUACUUCAUACUAAGUUCAAGAACGAGAAAAUUUUAUAAAUGUUGCUUACCGUCGCAUAUUACAUUAAUUAAUUCCUAAAAUAAAUUAUUUUUGUGUGUAACAAUGUAAUUAUGUGUUUACUUGCGUUAUAAAUUUUAUUGAUUCAAUUUUCUAAAUGUGAUUAUUGAGGGAUCAUUAUUUAUUUUUAAAAAUAAAUAUUUCUAAAACAUUU